UCUCAGUUCAGAAUAUUUAUCUGUCAAUGUUUUUCUUUUCCUUUGUUAUUGUAUAUUAUUCUGUUUUUUCAGGCUUUUUGGGACUAUUCUGAGAAAAAGUUGCUUGGAACAACAAAGGCAGAAUGUUCUGUUACAAGCGAAUGGUCUCCCAAUGGAUGCUACUUCAUGACUGCAACAACACCAUACAGUGAUUAACUUUAGUUAAGCAUUGAUGUAUUGACUUUAAAACCCUCCCACAACGUAUUGUAGCAGUAAGGGCCUCCAAAAGCCCUCCUACAUUUUUUUUACACACUCACACCAAUUCAUGGAAGCCUUCAGAACUUAAACAAAUCAAUUCAAUCAACUCAAAUUAACAGAUAUUAAGGGGUAAAAACAUACUUCUAUCAAGCUUAAGGAGAAAUUCAAUCAAUAAAAAAACUGAAAAUUUGAGCUUAGUAGCUGUAUGGAUGUGAAAAGGUUUGUUCCUUUGUGGGGCCUGAUUCAGUCCUCCUCUUUGGAUGAUCUCUUAUCAUCCACCUUUAUCUGGCAUUUAGAGCCAUUUCAGCUUUGUUCUUUUCUUCAAUAAAAGUUAUGUUGCCAUUAUAUUGCCAUUAAAAAAACUAAAAAAUGUUGGGUAAAAGUGCAGUUGCUUGUACCCAUAUAUAUGUUUUGUGAGCAUUCUCACAUGAGGUUGAUGGUUAUGCAAAUUAUUCUAAACUUUAAUUCCGAUCUUCUUUAAUUUAUUAUUGCUAUUUUUCUUCAAUUUCCUAAUCAAAUUAGAAAGAAAAGGUUAUCAUGAGGCUUAUGGCUUGCCUUUGCCUCACGCCUUUUUAAACCAUAGGCUUCCAUAACUCUCUUUUUCAUGAUUCAUAUACACUCCAAAAGAUCAUCAGAAAAUGGUUUUGUUUGUGUUUGAAUUUAGAAAUUCGCUGGCCAAAAGUAACUGCUGAACUUGUUUUCAUCACUGUUGAUGUAAAUAAAUUCAGAGUCCAAUACUGUAUUCUGACAAUAUUAUUCUCAUGUUUUGCUUCUUUUUUUUUUUUUUUUUCGAGUAUUUGUUCCCUUUCUUCAGGGACUUGCAUUACCAGCUAGACAUCAUCAUGAUUAGGAACUCAAAUGGAUCUUCAUCAGUAUGAUAAGAUGUUCUCACUUUAUGGGACCUAGACACAAAUGUUCUUGUAGCUGUAAUUGAAGAUACUCUUACAGUGAUUGUCUGAAUAUCAUUAUCUAAUUGUGUUGUGUGUGUAAAGUAGACAUUUGACGUGGAUCAUUGCUGAAAAAUGAUUGAUGGUUAUCAUGCACAUUAAUUUGACGUGGAAGCUUACCAAAAGAGAUGAGGCCUCGGUGCAAAGCAAGAGUGCCAUAGAAAAAGGUUUAUUUUUUAGUGUUUUUUUUUUUUCAUGCAGAAUUCUCUGUUUUCAUUGACGAUUUCAUUGAAUUGAAGUUGGGUUUCUUUGGAAAUUGGUUUGGGAUCUGUUUGAUAGUAUUUUUGUGUUUGUUGAGUUGAAUUGUUGAAGAAACGAUGACCAAGAAAAGGAGGCAGUUGAUUGAUAAACAGCCUGAUGGCAGUAGUGGAGGUUAUUCGGGUGGGAUCCGUGAUCUUGAAACACAACUCAAGCUUUAUGAUGUAGAAAGAAAUAAAAGAGCUAAUUCAACAUUGAGAUCUUGCUCAAUCUCUUCUCAAGGGCUGGUCUCUUUUCUCAACACUUUUCAG